CGGAGGGUGCAAGCGUUAUCCGGAUUCACUGGGUUUAAAGGGUGCGUAGGCGGGCAAUUAAGUCCGUGGUGAAAUACCUGGGCUUAACUUGGGAACUGCCAUGGAUACUAUUUGUCUUGAAUGUCGUGGAGGUUAGCGGAAUAUGUCAUGUAGCGGUGAAAUGCUUAGAUAUGACAUAGAACACCUAUUGCGAAGGCAGCUAACUACGCGAAUAUUGACGCUGAGGCACGAAAGCGUGGGGAUCAAACAGGAUU
rnacentral:rRNA from 1 species